rnacentral:tRNA from 1 species
GCGCCCGUAGCUCAGCAGGAUAGAGCAACAGCCUUCUAAGCUGUGGGUCACUGGUUCGAAUCCAGUCGGGCGCG